rnacentral:rRNA from 1 species
GAUUAGUGGCGAACGGGUGAGUAACACGUGAGUAACCUGCCCUUAACUCUGGGAUAAGCCUGGGAAACUGGGUCUAAUACCGGAUAGGAGCGUCCACCGCAUGGUGGGUGUUGGAAAGAUUUAUCGGUUUUGGAUGGACUCGCGGCCUAUCAGCUUGUUGGUGAGGUAAUGGCUCACCAAGGCGACGACGGGUAGCCGGCCUGAGAGGGUGACCGGCCACACUGGGACUGAGACACGGCCCAGACUCCUACGGGAGGCAGCAGUGGGGAAUAUUGCACAAUGGGCGCAAGCCUGAUGCAGCGACGCCGCGUGAGGGAUGACGGCCUUCGGGUUGUAAACCUCUUUCAGUAGGGAAGAAGCGAAAGUGACGGUACCUGCAGAAGAAGCACCGGCUAACUACGUGCCAGCAGCCGCGGUAAUACGUAGGGUGCGAGCGUUAUCCGGAAUUAUUGGGCGUAAAGAGCUCGUAGGCGGUUUGUCGCGUCUGUCGUGAAAGUCCGGGGCUUAACCCCGGAUCUGCGGUGGGUACGGGCAGACUAGAGUGCAGUAGGGGAGACUGGAAUUCCUGGUGUAGCGGUGGAAUGCGCAGAUAUCAGGAGGAACACCGAUGGCGAAGGCAGGUCUCUGGGCUGUAACUGACGCUGAGGAGCGAAAGCAUGGGGAGCGAACAGGAUUAGAUACCCUGGUAGUCCAUGCCGUAAACGUUGGGCACUAGGUGUGGGGACCAUUCCACGGUUUCCGCGCCGCAGCUAACGCAUUAAGUGCCCCGCCUGGGGAGUACGGCCGCAAGGCUAAAACUCAAAGGAAUUGACGGGGGCCCGCACAAGCGGCGGAGCAUGCGGAUUAAUUCGAUGCAACGCGAAGAACCUUACCAAGGCUUGACAUGUUCUCGAUCGCCGUAGAGAUACGGUUUCCCCUUUGGGGCGGGUUCACAGGUGGUGCAUGGUUGUCGUCAGCUCGUGUCGUGAGAUGUUGGGUUAAGUCCCGCAACGAGCGCAACCCUCGUUCCAUGUUGCCAGCACGUCGUGGUGGGGACUCAUGGGAGACUGCCGGGGUCAACUCGGAGGAAGGUGAGGACGACGUCAAAUC